CAUCUCUAAAUUCAAAUCCUAGCCUCUCAAUUUCAAUUAUCCUUCACACGACAAUAUAUAUAUAUAUAUAUUUAUAUAUGAGUCAGGCUAAUACUAUCGACAACACUAAAAAUUUGGUGCUAUCGAAUUUUUCACCUUUAGAUUUAACCCUUUGAUUAUUUUUACCCAUUAAAUUAUAUUAUUCAACCAAUCACCCACUCAAUCCUAAAAGACUCAUAUCAUUCUAAUCACAUAUUUCUCAAUUCAAUAAUUAAAAAAUUAGUAGCAUCAACAACUUUGUGCUAUUAAUAAUAUUCCAGCCUAAUAUAGGUUGAGAUGAUGGUGGUAGGUGGUGGUAGGUAGUGGUAGGUGGAAUAGUAUUUAAUCCAAGGACUAUUAAUAAUCAAAAAGUAGAUCCAAUGGCUUAAAACCUAAUAGCACCAUGAUGGUGAUACUUGUAAAAGUAUCAUAGCUCAACUCUAUAUAUAGAGUAGGGCUAGAAUACUUGUAAAAGUAUCAUGAGGGUGAUACUUGUGUGUUUUUAGCCCUUAGAUGGAGAGAUGUGGGGUUGAGAUGAUGGUGAUAGGUGGUGAUAGGUGGUGAUAGGUGGAAUAGUGUUUAAUCCAAGAGCUAUUAAUAAUCAAAAAGUAGAUCCAAUGACUUAAAACCUAAUAGCACCAUGAUGAUGAUACUUGUAAAAAUAUCAUAGCUCAACUCUAUAUAUAUAUAUAUAUAUAUAUAUCCUCUCUUUCCACUCAUUUUACCCUUUUGUUUUUGUUUUCUACCCUCUUUUCAUUUGUCUUUAUACUGUAGCUGGCUUCUGGUGACAGCCAGAAAGGUGAGGAAUGUGUCGGUUCUCCACUUUUUUUUUUGUUUUUUUAUUUGACUUCUUCAGCCUUUCAAAUUUGAAAAUAUUAGUGCCUUUCAUUCUAGAAUCUAGAUCCCUCCUCUUUUGUAACAGCACUGUAUCAAAUAUGCUUAUAAUAUUAUGUUUAUAUACCACAUUAGUAAUAUAUUGAUAAACUUAGAUAAGUGUAACAUUUCACUUUCCAGAGAGUCAUUUAUUCUAAAAUUAUUUUAGUUUUAACAUAUUUAACUUUUUAAACCUAUUAGACCUCACAACUAUACAAAAUACUAUAAUCAAAUUAAGAGGUUUAACAUUUUUAUAUCUCGUAUAUACUAUUCCAAAUCUUAAGGAUUCUAUAUUUUUUCUUUUUUAAACUCUAACUUUUAUGUUGGGCUCAAGCACAUUUACAAGUACCAAAUAAUGCGAAACUCAUCUCGCUAGCCGUAACCGACCUUCUAUGGAGUCAAGCUCCACCUAUAAUGGGCGUUAGCUGGAGAGCCAUGCUCUAUCUAAUGUAUGAUCCUAUCUUUGUUGAAACUCAUUUUACACUUCCGGAUGCUGAUUAGUUCUAACAUCAACUAUGAUGCUUCACUUCUCAAGAGGUCAUCUAUUCUAAGACUAUUUUAAUCCUAAAAUAUUUCACUUUUUUAACUUUUUAAGUUUAGUCACUGUUCAAAAUAUUACAGUCGAAUUAAGAAAUUUACCCAUUCUGCAUCUCGUGUAAAAGACUCUCAAAUUU
rnacentral:lncRNA from 1 species